GUGCAUAACAGGCUUUCCCUCUUUGUCACUCCUCUACUCUAUCUUCUUCGGCAGGUAUGCCUUGCUAACUCACUUACUUAAAAAGAGUAAUCAAACUGUUGAACCCAUGCUAUUACUAAACCAAAAUGUGCCUGACCAGCAAAUGCCACAAAUUGUGUUAUCCAUUGCAGUUCUUUCUACCUUGAUACCACUGUUGUGGCGAACCAAGGAUGCUUGUUUAUUUUGUG